AACGAACGCUGGCGGCAGGCCUAACACAUGCAAGUUGAACGCCCGUAGCAAUACGGGAGUGGCAGACGGGUGAGUAACGCGUGGGAACGUGCCCUUCGGUUUGGAAUAACUCAGGGAAACUUGAGCUAAUACUAAAUACGUCCGUAAGGAGAAAGAUUUAUCGCCGAAGGAUCGGCCCGCGUCGGAUUAGCUAGUUGGUGAGGUAACGGCCCACCAAGGCGACGAUCCGUAGCUGGUCUGAGAGGAUGAUCAGCCACACUGGGACUGAGACACAGUCCGGACUCCUACGGGAGGCAGCAGUGGGGAAUAUUGGACAAUGGGGCGAACCCUGAUCCAGCGACGCCGUGUGGU
rnacentral:rRNA from 1 species